rnacentral:rRNA from 1 species
GACGAGCGCUGGGGGUGUGCUUAAGACAUUCCAGUGGACAGGUACGGCCCUGCAUGUGUGGCGUCCCCGAGCUGCGACCGGGAGCCUAACACGUGAUUCACCUGCCAUUGACUUUGGGUUAACCUCAGGAAACAGGGUCCAUUACCGUCUAGGCGCUCCGGCUGCAAGGCGGGGGUGGGAACGUUUCGGCGGUUGGGGAUGGACCCGCGGCUUAUCAGCUUGUUGGUGGGGUAGUGGCUUACCAAGGCUUUGACGGGUAGCCGGCCUGAGAGGGUGACCGGCCACAUUGGGACUGAGAUACGGCCCAGACUCCUACGGGAGGCAGCAGUGGGGAAUAUUGCACAAUGGGCGGAAGCCUGAUGCAGCAACGCCGCGUGCGGGAUGACGGCCUUCGGGUUGUAAACCGCUUUCGCCUGUGACGAAGCGUGAGUGACGGUAAUGGGUAAAGAAGCACCGGCUAACUACGUG